UAUAGCUCAAAUUUGAAAUCUGGCGCCUUCGGUGUCCGAGUUGUAAUUUGAAGAAGGUAUCUUUGGUUUUGGCUCUUGUCUAUGUUCCUUGGAACAGGACGUCACAGAGGGUGAGAAUCCCGUGCGAUGAGAUGCCCAAUUCCAUGUAAAGUUCCUUCGACGAGUCGAGUUGUUUGGGAAUGCAGCUCUAAGUGGGUGGUAAAUUCCAUCUAAAGCUAAAUAUUGGCGAGAGACCGAUAGCGAACAAGUACUGUGAAGGAAAGAUGAAAAGAACUUUGAAAAGAGAGUGAAAAAGUACGUGAAAUUGUUGAAAGGGAAGGGCUUGAGGUCAGACUUGGUUUUACCAGGCCAGCAUCAGUUUGGAUGGCAGGAUAAUAGCUUAGGAAUGUGGCACUGCUUCGGUAGUGUGUUAUAGCCUGGGUUGAUACUGCCUGUCUAGACUGAGGACUGCGUCUUUGACUAGGAUGCUGGCAUAAUGACCUUAAGCC
rnacentral:rRNA from 1 species